GCCUGGAAAAAGAGAACAGCAAGACGCAAAGAGCAACUUAAAUCACAUUUGUGUGGAUAAACUCAGUGGAGUAUCCUUUCGCAUCAUGGAUCAUGUCAAGGUUAAACUGGAGGUCAUAGUUUACUGCCAUUUGUUCAAAACGCAAAAAGCAACGCCAAUCAAAUCUGAUGGAUAAACUGAGGACCAUGACUGGUUAUUUGGGACUAACAAAUGGAUCAGACCUCUGACGUCAAGCCAAGUUGAUAAAUUAGCUGGCGGCGGUGAAACACUGCAAUCAUCCGGAUGCCUCCUUGUAAAUUUGUGUUGAAACUAAUUCAAUGACAAAUUCAAAGAACUAACACGAUAUGAUAGCAAUGACAGCACGAACAAUAAAAAUUAGGUGUCCAAAACCCAGUUAAUGUAUUUAUUAAAGCACAUCAGCACACGAGGGACAAGCUGCACUAAGUUUACUUUAUGAACUUGUAUUCUAGUUACAGUAUGAUCACGUGGACACAUACCUGACACAAAGCAAACACAUUAUGUUUUCCUUAAUAACAGAUAUCCUGCUCUUAACGAUCAGUGUGGGGCAACUGAAGAUAUGAUGGAGCCAUCUUCAUCGCUGUAACCUGUCCCACUCAGUCUGUUUUCCUCAUUAAGCAAAGCCAAGACAUUAACGUUACUCUAAUUUUCUUGUUGUUCAGGCGUCAAACUUUUAUUAUGAAUGCAUCGCCCUCAAAUACAGUGAGACUGCUCGGAUUCAACUGCAUGAAAAGACCAGUCUGACAGUGGGAAGGUGUCGAUCACCAACAGUCACACUGAUGAAUGUCAUACCCAUUUCUUCUAAGUGGUAUAUUGGCAAAUGCUGCAGGAAGGCGGUUCAAUCAAUUAUUUUAUUAUUACUUUUUCUGUGCAAUUUCUCAAAUUAAAAUAAUUCUUCCUUCCUACAUUUUUCCUUUGAAUUUGUGG